UACGGGAGGCAGCAGUGGGGAAUAUUGCACAAUGGGGGAAACCCUGAUGCAGCCAUGCCGCGUGUGUGAAGAAGGCCUUCGGGUUGUAAAGCACUUUCAGUAGGGAGGAAGGUAGUGUAGUUAACACCUGCACUUAUUUGACGUUACCUACAGAAGAAGCACCGGCUAACUCCGUGCCAGCAGCCCGCGGUAAUACGGAGGGUGCGAGCGUUAAUCGGAAUUACUGGGCGUAAAGCGCAUGCAGGCGGCCUGUUAAGUCAGAUGUGAAAGCCCGGGGCUUAACCUCGGAAUUGCAUUUGAAACUGGCAGGCUAGAGUCUUGUAGAGGGGGUAGAAUUUCAGGUGUAGCGGUGAAAUGCGUAGAAGAUCUGAAGGAAUACCAGUGGCGAAGGCGGCCCCCUGGACAAAGACUGACGCUCAGUACUGCGAAAGCGUGGGGAGCAAACAGGAUUAGAUACCCUGGUAG
rnacentral:rRNA from 1 species